rnacentral:rRNA from 1 species
CAAUAUGAAGGUCAGGCUGAAGACCUUACCGGAUUCGCUGAGAGGUGGUGCAUGGCCGUCGUCAGUUCGUACUGUGAAGCAUCCUGUUAAGUCAGGCAACGAGCGAGACCCACGCCCACAGUUGCCAGCGAUCCCUCCGGGGAGGCGGGUACUCUGUGGGACCGCCGCUGCUAAAGCGGAGGAAGGAAUGGGCAACGGUAGGUCAGUAUGCCCCGAAUCCCCCGGGCUACACGCGGGCUACAAUGGUCGGCACAAUGGGUACCGACCCCGAGAGGGGUAGGCAAUCUCCUAAAGCCGAUCGUAGUUCGGAUUGAGGGCUGAAACUCGCCCUCAUGAAGCUGGAAUCCGUAGUAAUCGCGUUUCAACAGAACGCGGUGAAUACGUCCCUGCUCCUU